UCUGCAUGCUCCGCCGGGCCCGCCCCUCCGCCGGCCCCGGGAGGAGGAGGAGGAGGAGAGAGGGGGUGCGAGGAGGCGGCCCUGCUGCGCCGCACGCCCUGCCUCCCGACAGCGGGAGGUGCAACCCCCCCCCAGCCAAAUUGGGGGGGGGGGGGGUGCCCGGCCGUGCCCGCGUGCAACACAUGGCAGCCCUGUCCCCCGGGCCCGUGGGGGGCAGCCGCAGGGCGUGCCCCCGCCAGUCCCCGUCUCCGAUCCCGAGCUGGAGCAUCCCCGCCUUCAGGGCAGGCCGGGCCGGGAGCCCGCGGGGUCACCUCUCCCGCCCCCAGGCUUUGCCCCGCCCAGGGGAGCGCCCGCACACCUUCCCGCGGGCUGGCCGGGCUCCGGCGCCCGGCUGGCAUCGCACCGCUUCCCCCGCCCGUCUCGGGCCCCUCCACCCCGCUGCUUUCCCCACUCGCUGCAUCCCCCUCACACCAUUUAGUUAACCAAAUGUGGAAGUGCGGGCCGCUGGCAGGAGGAGGCUUUGCGAGAUGCCCCAGAGCAGCACAAUGAAAGGGGGGAAAAUAGGUUCCCUCGGAGUCUGCUGCACAGGGACGGGAAGGGGAGAGGUGUAAAUUGGCUGGGCUGCCCGUUGUUAAUCAGUUACCCAGUGCUACUUAUGCAGACAGGCGUAUCGGCGUAGCUGUGUUGGUCCGGCUCUUUGGGUACAUCCGAGAUCUUUUAUUAGGUCUAAUAGAUCUCGGCUGUACCCAAAGAACUAAUGCAGAGAUACACCGGGAGAGGCGGCUGCCAUGCUCUCGCGCUCUCUCCAGAGGUGUGCUUCCCUGGGAAGCGGAGGGUCUGGGCAUCACCUGCCCGGGUGGACAUCUGGAAGCAUGUUGAGUUUUUGGCUUUUAGGUUGUUGGAAGUCACCUGGGCUUCCCCCCCUUCUUCUCUGCUCACCCCCAUCUCCAUCCCUCCCACGCACGGCUCAGAAGCGGUCUGGCCAGCAGACACAGUGGAUUAAUGCCUCUCCAGCUCUAUCAGCUGGCCUCUGGGAGAUGCAAUCCUCGAAAAAAGGGAGGUGAGGGGGAGGAGGUUAACCCCAACAGGUAUUUCUUGUCAUGAAAUCUCGAGUUCCCAGUUCGCGAUAAGGAAGUGAUAAACAACAGCUAAACUCAAUGCAACAGAUUACAGGACAGACGCUCGCUCCCCUACGUGAUGAUUAAUGCACAUACAUUAAAUAAAACUAGAAAAAUGUUUUUUAAAAACCCCACAAGAGCUUAACAUAGCGCACUUUCAUAUUGCCAGAGUUAUAUAGAAUAAUCGAUCUCAGGCGAUUGCAUCUGAAUAGUACAUUUCUCUCUUUGGCAAACCGACCUUUAAGGAUCUGCAUUUGGGGGGCUCUGUUUUAGCGCAGCUGCAGCAGCUGCAGAGUUCCCAAUGCAAAAUUAAUUAUAACCUUAUAAAUGCAUACAUGAAUCUCUCUAAAUCAAACAGCACUCCCUGAGAAAUAGAGCAGACCCUCCGCCUUUUUAUUUGGGAAGACACGUCUCUCUUCUUUCCAGCGGGGGUGACAAGGAUCUCGUCUUGUCCACUGCAAGGAGGGAACUUGCUUCUCAUUGCAAUAAAAACAUUACUGAUUGGACUUAGCAGAACUGGGAGAACGAAAAGCUGCUGAGGUCAUUUCAAUACAACGUGUAAAGUCUCUGUGAUAAGACCUCCCUGAAAUGUGUGCCCAUAUUGCUUUCUGAAAAUGACCGGGGUACGGAUUAUAUUGAACUUUCCCCCGGUUUAUGCUCUCUUUUGCCCUGAUUACUUUAGCUUGUCAUCCAUGGGGCUUCUGAGCUGAAAGCCCCUCUUCCAAGAGUCCUGUUUGUGACUAAUAAAAGCCGUCUAUCUUGCACUAUUAAGCAGUAGAAUAGCACGACGUGCAUUUUUUAUUGGUAAUAACUGUAGCGAAUUAAAAUGCCUACACGGAGACAUUAAAACCUACACGCUGCCUUUUGAUUUGAAUAUCUAUUCAUUGUUUCAGUAUUUGCACGCCUGGCUGUUUAGCGACGGCCGCAUUUUCCUCUUGUAAUUUAAAGUUUCCUGGAGGGGUAAUUAAUAAACAGUUAACAGAGAAGGGUCCUUUCCCGGUUCUCUUUCUCCUUAAGGAUUUGGGGGAGACCUGCGUGUUUGGGGGUUUUGUUUUUUUGGUGGUUGAUCGUUUGUUAAGUGCAACCUCCGCCUGCUCACACCAAAGCCACUUCCGAGGCUGAAGUUUGAAGGCGAUCAAAGUUGGUCUCUGGGAAUAGUGUCCUCCCUAAUAUAAGGCAAACACGAGCUGUUUGCUCUGUGUAAUAACUGGCGGUGUGUGUUUAUGCACAGACGUGUGUGUUCCGGGGGUGUUUGCUUUGGGACCCGAUCCUGCUGUCUUGAAUCAGGUUGAAAUUCCAGCUUUGCCAUACCCAGGACUGCAAGCCCCGGCCCAGAUCCACGCUCCCGGGUGCAGAGGAGUGGAUGGUCGCGCAGGAACUUGUGGACGCAGCGCCCUGGGACCUGCGGCCCCGCACCCUGCACCUGGAUCGGCUCUUGCGGGGCUGCGGAGAGCUUCCCCCUCUCUCAUUUGAUGCGAGGAUCGCGACCAUCCCCUGCAUUUAACAGCAUGAGAUAAUGGGCUGCUGUAUUACAAAAAAAAGAGCCAUGAUACAGGCAAGCAGGUCGAGGGGAGAUGCUGGGUUUCCUAGGAAGACAGGAUGGCUUUCCGAGGCCGCUUGAGUGCGUGUGGCAGAAAGGGAGAGGCUGGGAGAGCCUUUCUGUAGAGUCUGCUCAUAGAGGAAACGUGGAAGGGCUGGGGAAAGGCAGGCAGGGGGGCAAAGAGGAGAAAGCACCCCCCCAUCUCUAGGAUCAGAUCUCUAGUUCAGGCUGCGCGUGGGAGAGGGCGCUGUGGCAAUGGCUUUGCCCCGCGCUCCGGCGCAGACACAGCGUGAUUGUUUGUGGAAGCUGCUUCCCCUGGGUCCCUGCUCGGAUUUCACUCCCUGCUUUCCCUUCACCACCUUAUCUAAUUGCGGGCCCACGCCGCAGGCAGCAGAGAGGGGAUCCUCGCAGGGGUGAGGCUCGCUCCCCUUCUCCUGGUCUCAGCCUCACUUCUCUUUUCAGCUGGGCAGCAGCGGGCAUAAAAGCACGAGAGGUUGCUGUGCCCCCUCUUUUCCUCUGAGACACCCAACUUUCUGAGAACACUAGAUCUCAGUCUGGCAGCUGGGAUGAUUUAGCUGGAGCUGGUUCUGCUUUGAGCAGGAGGUUGGGCUAGGUGACCUCCUGAGGUUCCUUCCAACCUGAAUUUUCCAGGACCCCACUUCUCUUUCCAGACCUGAAAUGCACACUGGGUCUGAAGCUGGUUUCUCGUGCAGGGUCCAGUCAUCUUCAAAGCCACAGGAAGAGUGGCAGUAAAAAAAAAAAAUCAAAAAAAAAAAAUCCCCCCACGUGCUCGUUUAGAGAGAGACUUUUCUCUCCUCUUCUUGAGGAUCUCCCCCUUCCCCUGUGCCGUGCCAUAUAUAGAGCAGCUAGAGGAGGAAGAGAACCUGCUUUUUGUUGUUGUGUGGUUUUUUUGGUUUCUUUAAAAGAAAAAAGGAUAGUUUCUCUGCAACUGUUCUUAGCUAUUUUUAGUGGCACACAACAGGCAUUGCUAGCAGUAGCCGGACAAAAGAGCUCAAAGCGUUUAGAUGAGCCCUUAUUGUCGCCUGGAAAGGAGGCAAGAUUAUUUAGAGAAAGAAAGAAGCAGCGGGCAAGCCACAGGUAGGAUGUUUCCUUCUAUUAAAAUAAAAGCAGACUGAAGUCGAGCAGAUUUCUUACUUUUGUUACGCUGACUUUUUAAAAGGCGGGGGGAUCUCUCGGGGAAACCCAGCAUCGGACUCAAUCUCAUCAGAUCCCGGCUUGUCUCCUGCCACCCAGCCGAGCACGGAGCCUGUGUGUCAGGCGUGUGCCCGCAGCACACUGAGCCUCUCCCCCUCCUCCCAAAGCAGCAGCUCAGCAAAAGAAACCAAACCAGCCUCCCCCCCGCUAGCCCAAAAGCACCUGAUGGGUUUAAGUGUGGCCAAAGCUUCAAUCGGGACUGUCGGGGGGGGAUUAGAUCAAGCAUUGAAGGUUCUUGUGUCUGCUGCUUGUAGUACUUAGGAUGCAGAGGAGUGCAGCAUUGGUGUCUUUUCCCCCCUCUUUUUUCUACUCUCAGGAAUAUGCGGGAAUGGCUGAAGUCCUUUCUUUCUGGAUAUUACCAGAGUACUUAUCAGUGAGAGUAGAAUGCUUGCUUCUCUCUCCCAGCUUUUCAACUGUUAUAUGAAGUCCCUGGGGAGAAAUCUCUUCCUCCAGUUGUCCACUGAGGAACUUGAUGAGGCAAAAGAGAGAGGAAUCUUUUCCUUCUUUCUCCAGAUGAGUCAGUCUCCUCCUUCUGCUCUUGCUCUAUUUUGAUGCACCGAAGAGACAUCUGGUACUUGAUGAGUAAGUUGUGUAUCCUGAGGGUAUGUAUGUAUGCAAUUUCAUUAAUUGUGACAUUUAUAGUUUUUGCAUUUUUAAAAAUUUGUUUUCCUUUUAUUGAGCUACAGUGACUUUAACAUUUGUGGCUGCUUACAGAUGUAAAAAAACCCAACCCCAAACAGUGCUUUACUUUAAACUCUGUGUGCCCCCACAUCAAGCCCAGCACGUGCCCAGAAGAUGUUAUGCAUUUGUUGGACCCGGCUCACCCAACCUCUGUAUAGAUCGGGUGCUUUAAGGGGGCUUUUUGCCGCUUUUUUCUAAUAGCUGAUUUAAUUAGCUAUUAGAUAAAAGCAGCCAAAAAAUCCCACCAAAGUGCCAGAUCUAUACAGAUGCUGCAGAGCUGGGUCCAACUAAUGCGCUGCUUCUCCCAGUAAAGCACAUUUUUUGUUGUUUUUUUUUUCUCAUGUCUGUCUAUAGUGUUUCUUUUAUAGGUGUGUAGAUAUGCCACUUCAUAAACUCUGUGAUCCAGAUGUGGAGAGAGUCCAACUGAGGGCAAUGAAAAUGGUUAGGGGGCUGGGGCACAUGAGCAGAGGUUGAGGAUACUGGGCAUAUAUUAAGCUGCAGAAGAGCAGACCAAGAGGGGAUUUGAUAGCAGUCUUUAACUACCUGAAGAGGGGUCCCAAAGUGGUUGGAGCCAGACUGUUCUGGGUGGUGGCAGAUGACAGUACAAGAAGCAAUGGUCUCAAGUUGCAGCAAGGGAAGUUGAGAUUAGAUAUUAGGAAAAACUUUCUUGUGAAAAGGGUAGUAAAGCACUGGAACAGGUUACCCAAGGAGGUUGUGGAAUCUUAUCCUUGGAGAUUUUUAAGACCUGGGUAGAGAAAGCCUUGGCUGGAAUGAUCUAGUUGGGGAUGGUCCUGCUUUGAGCAGGUGGUUGGACUAGAUGCCCUCCUGAGGUCCCUUCCAACUUUAGUUUUUAUGUUUCUAUGUGGAACUUAGCCUCUGAAGCUGAAAUUUGCUUAUGCUAUGUACCCAUGAGACAAAUAGCAGUACUUGUUAUACAGUACCCUAAAUACUUCUAUUUUUGCUGUUUUUCUAUACUUAAAGUUUAAUUAGGGAUUUUAGUCUGCAGCUGGUUAUGAGAAUGGGCUGGGAUGACACUUAUAUCUAAAUGAGUAAUUAAUGAUUUUUGUUUUCAUCUGUCAACAGAUUUUCUUUACCUUUAUGUGAGUGGACUGGACACAUAAGUGUGAUUCUGUUCUACCCCAUUCAUGUCUCUGAAAAACAGCUAAUGCAAAAGGUGGAUGAGUCCUUCUCCUUCUCACUGUUUUUUUGUGACAUAGUUUUAGGGAUGAAGAUAUGGUGGAUUACAAAACCAGGUGCAUUGAUGUUUUUUUCAGGGACUUGGAUAGGUGGAAUAGGAUCAUACAUAGGCACCUAAGUAAGUGCACAAUGAGUUACACAAAAAAUCUGUUAAUUAAAGUAAAUGUAUAAAAAUAAAAAUCCUUAGUUCCCAAUUUAAAUGUAAGGACAAUCAGUCCUUCUUUAUAACCCACCUCUUGCUGGCUAAACUACUGGUCUUCAGACUUGUAAGAUUAUGCAAGGCAACAUCUUAAUACAUUUAAAAUCUGGUACUUGGGUCUUUGCCUGUACCUGGAAACAAGAUCAUAUUAGCACAUUAACAUUGAACCAAACAAUGAUCAGUAUUCAUUUAGCUAAUCAUGACUAAUCCCUGCUCCAAUUAGGCCUUGGCUGAUAUGUGCUUCAGUCUGUUGUUUUGAACUAGUUAACACAUGAGCAAUUCAGUAUGUCCACAUCAGGAACGGCUGAGUCAUAAACCAGUUUUCUCAAACUGAUUCAGCAACCACUGGCAGCAAUAUAAGGAGUAGAUCUAUCAGCUCUGCCCCACUGCUCCCUCUGGCUUCUAUUAUUUGCUGUUUGAGAGCCUUGUGUACAACACAUUCCCACUAAACCAAGUAUCAGCACAGGAAAAAAAAUCCCUGCCUAUUCACUCCAACUCCCUCACCACCCGGGUUACAGUACUGAAACUCACAAUAUACAUAACUGAGAUUGUCCAGAAAAAAGCAGAAAAGAUCAAACCUGACAUUUCUCUAGUUAAAUUGAGCAGAUAUUUCAUAAGCUUUUAAAUAAGUUUUCUGGUCUCCUUCAUAGAUCAGAAAAGCCAUAAAAAAUGACAGAAACACAUGUUUUUUAAAUUAAGGAGACUUGUCUUUCUCAAAGAAAAUAAGAAUGUGGACAUAUCCCACUGAAAAUCAGUGGGCUUUGAAUCAGACCCAGACCAGAGGGCUUGGCUGAUCUGGAAAAGUGAAAACUUUAACCCAAGGGAGCUUUCUUUUAGAAAUGGAAGGCUAGCAGAGCCCUCAGGAGGUCACAUCAGCAGUGUUACAAGGGGUGGGGGGAGAAAGGGAUGCUAGUCUCAGCAUUUAGAAGGGGCACCAAAAUCAUGUCCCACUCCUGUGGAGCCUGCAUCCGCAGCUCCACAACUCUGCUCUUGCAGCAGCAGCCAGCGCACAGACACUGGUGUGGGCAGAGCCAGGGUGGGCAGAGCACAGUGGUGGCAGCAACAGCAAGAGCAUCUGGGAUCGGGUAAGACUCCCACUCCCUGAUCCCCACAGCUCUCCCACAGGAUUUCCUCGGGCACAAACUUUGCUUGUUUAUGCCAUUGUGUCACAACAGAGGUGUAACAACCAGGGGCUGAGACCUGGGCAGUAGCAGGGGCUGGGCCAGUGGAAGAGGUGGCUGGGCCAGCAGUCUCAGCGACUGCCAUUCUUGUGCCUCCAAGUGGGCACCCAGGGCUGGUGCCAUGGUUAUGCUAUUGUGUCCAGGCCAACCCCCUGCUCAAGGCAGGAUCAGCCCUGUCUAAAGCAUACCAGCAAAGGGUUUGUCUAAUCUGUACUUAAAGAUUCCCAGUGAUAGAGAUUUCACUUAAAAAAAAUAUGAGGCUAGUGUCACGGUUAGUAGGAUUCAUAGCUCAUAUCUUUUGAAAUCAGUUUAUAUCAGUUGAGGACUGGGCACAUGCCCUUUUGUAUUAUUUGUGUGGAGAUCAGCUCUGUUUCAGUCAAUCUGUCAACCUGGUUUACUAAGAAGAACCUGAAAGGACAGACACAAGAAUGAAAAGAAAAACAAAGCAGUCCAGAGUUACAAAUAUAUGCUUGAUAUGCUUUGUUUUCAUUUUUGUUCUUGAUGGCUCUGUGUUUUGGGAGUACUUUUUUGAUUGUGACAAAUAUUAAGUGUUUUUGUCCCAUUUCUGCUCCACUUUGGGAACACAUACAAAAGUGGCAUUUCACUCUGAAUAUCUUCUUAUUAGUAAAGCUGGGUAAAACAUUUUCAACUGAAACUUUUUUUCAGCAAAAAUACAUAUUUGAGGAUGCUAUAACUUUUCAUGGAUCUGUGUCAAUUUUGCCAAAUAGUCACUUAAAAAACCCUUUGUAAAAUUAUGGGAAAUCUAAAUAUUGUGUUUUAACACUUUAAAAAUGAAAUAUUUCAAUAUCUCUGUUUGAAGUCACUUUUCAUAUUGAAAGUUCCUUUAGUUUAAUUAAAACAUAUGUUUUAAUUGCUUGAAAUCAAAAUAAUAUUAUGUUUUGGGUCAAACAAAAUCUCCUAUGUAAUUGGAAAUUAUGUAUCUUGACUUUUCAAUUUGCUAACAUUAAAAAGAAAUAUUUUUAAAGCA